GCGGGCUCCACAGGUUCCUGGGAGGGGAGGUGUGGAUAGUGACCUGUGCUUGCACACAAGCUUCUUGGUGGCUGCAGCAGCAGCCUUAGUGUCCCAUGCCCGUCUCUGGGGUCCUCACUGACAGCCGCGGCUCGCGCCCGUCCCUGGAGCUCCUUUAAGCGGCACUCUUAAUCCCCUCUCCUCGCGCACCAGGAAACAAAGAGGCAAGAAAAAGUCUCUUGUCUCUUCGGCAGCUCCAGACUUUUUCCUGGACUCCCUCCCCGCUAGCUGUGGUGCACUAGCCCCCUUCAGGCUGUGUUCAUGCAGCUAACCCCAGUCCUCUCCCUGGGAUCUGACCUCCGAAGCCCGAGCCUCAGCUCCCAGCCCCCACCCGUCCCAUCAGUGCCCAGAACAGGAUAUAUAAGCCAAAAAGAAAACCUAAGGAACCCACCACCAUGUUGAUCAUUGGCUUCUGAGAACCCUAAUCAGCUUGCUACUUUCUUCUCUUAAACUUUCAGAAUCCUCAGGGAUGCCAUGUAUGCCUCGGAAUUACCCUCCUUGUGUGUGAGCCCUGAAUAUCCCUACACGGCCUCAGCCUGGAAGACUUUCAGAUCAGCUUCCGCUUAGUGACCAGAGCAUGCUGUGCCUGAAUUGGUGCCUCAGGCCAGCUUUUUAAAAAAAAGUUAAAGCAGAAAUUUAAAAGUAGGAAGUCACCUGGUUUUCUAAGAGAUCUUCAUGAUUAAUGGGAUUUGUUUUUACUGGCUAAAUCCAGGGCCCCUAAAGGGCAUAGCUGACAUCAGUACUGUAAGCUGGUCUCACCAUGCUGCAUGGGGUCCUACCGUAAUGACACUUUGGCAACAAGCUAAGGGGGUGGACUGCAGACAAGACAACAUAGUAUGUCUAAAACUGCUAUCCUUAGAAAGGUCUUCUUGCAAGUUGGCCCCUGGUUGGCAACUGAGAACUUGGAUUUUGGGAGGACCCCUACCAUUCCCUAACUGAUAAGGAUGGUUCACCGUUGCUAAACUGUACAAAUUAUGUGGUUUAUGCAAGAUACCUCCUUUCCGCUGUGAGUCUGAAAUUUUGCUAUGUACAUGACCAGCCCCUAAUAAUUACCUUAGGCACUAUAAUGAGCUUUCCUGGUAGAAAACACUUUAACACAUGUUGUCACAAUUCACAGCUGGAGAAAUGAAUUCUGUGACAUCACUGGAAAGAGGAUUCCUGGAAGCUUGUGCCGAUCUCCUGUUGUCUUUGCAAUAUGCACCUUUUCCCCUUGCUGAUUUUGUUUUUUGUUCU